CAACCCCUAAGCACAGCUUACUGUUGGGAACCUACGGCCCCCGUAGCUCCUUAAAGACAUUGGCGGAGUGGCAGUGGUCCUCUGAGCGUAGUAAUUCUUUAUCUCGCUUUUGUUAGGUGCUGCCCCCCCGGCCGUAAAACCCCCCCUUUUUUCU
rnacentral:misc_RNA from 1 species